rnacentral:rRNA from 1 species
AUACCGCAUACGACCUGAGGGUGAAAGCGGGGGAUCGCAAGACCUCGCGCGAUAGGAGCGGCCGAUGCCGGAUUAGCUAGUUGGUGAGGUAAUGGCCUACCAAGGCGAAGACGCUUAGCUGGUCUGAGAGGAUGAUCAGCCACACUGGGACUGAGACACGGCCCAGACUCCUACGGGAGGCAGCAGUGGGGAAUAUUGGACAAUGGGCGCAAGCCUGAUCCAGCCACGCCGCGUGAGUGAUGAAGGCCUCGGGUCGUAAGCUCUGUGGGGAGGGACGGAACGGCGCCAUGAAGAGUGGCGAUUGACGGUACCUCCUUAGCAAGCACCGGCUAACUUCGUGCCAGCAGCCGCGGUAAUACGAAGGGUGCAAACGUUGCUCGGAAUCAUUGGGCGUAAAAGCGCACGUAGGCGGCUUUCUAAGUCGGAUGUGAAAUCCCUCGGCUUAACCGAGGACGUGCAUCCGAAACUGGGAGGCUUGAGUAUGGAAGA